GUGCUCGAUUUGGCAGCACAUACACUAAAAUUGGAUUGAUGCAGAGAAGAUUAGCAUGGUCCCUAUGCAAGGAUGACACACAAAUUUGUGAAGUGUUCCAUAUUUCU
ensembl:snRNA U6 spliceosomal RNA